GGAUAUUAUAUUGAAUAAGAGAGACAAGUACUGUCAGAUCAUACCAAAUGACAUGAAUGAUGUGAAUAAGUGGUUGAAAACAUCACCAAGUACUCCGAAUUGAAAAGAUAUGAACGCCAAAACCGAUACAAAGGACCGGUGGCUAUGGUUGAGGAGGAGUGACCUGAAGAUAGAGACAGAAGCACUCAUAUGCGCAGCUCGGGAAUAAGCGUUGAGGACCAACUAUUUGAAGUGCA